rnacentral:sRNA from 1 species
AUUCUGCCCAAGCGGGGAAGGAUGAGAAGCUUCGACCAAGGUUCGACUCGAGGCCAGCGAGAGAGCGUUGCCGCAGGCAACGACCCGUAGGGCGAAGCGCGCAGCGCUGAGUAAUCCUUCCCCCACCACCA